rnacentral:rRNA from 1 species
GACAGAGGUGCCGAGCGUUAGGCGGAAUCACUGGGCUUAAAGCGUGUGUAGGCGGAUCUGUAAGUACCUUGUGAAAUCCCACGGCUCAACCGUGGAACUGCUUGGUAUACUGCGGGUCUUGAGCCACCUAGGGGCAAGUGGAACAAACGGUGGAGCGGUGAAAUGCGCAGAUAUCAGGAGGAACACCGGUGGCGAAGGCGGGUCUCUGGGCCGUUACUGACGCUGAGGAGCGAAAGCGUGGGGAGCGAACAGG